AAAUGUGCCUAAGGCCAUAUUUUCUGACAAGCAACUCUUCUGUUACUAGAAAGAGUUAGCCAAGAGAUAGGAAGGAAGGGGGCUGAGAGGAAGGUAGGGACAGUACCGUGGAGGUGUGGGGCGUGAUUCUGAAAACCAGCAUCCGCGCUUCAUGUCUGAUGAUGUAAUGAUGUAUUGUUGAUAAUUGAACUCGUCACAUUCAUAAAUAUCUCAGCACGUAUCCAUCCAGAGCAAACACAUCGUUUGAUGUAACCACAAUGCAACGCGGUGCUGAGAAAACAGAACAUUGGUUUGCUAUCAACCACAUUAACCACAAUUCAUAUCUCCACAGAUCCUGCUCAUCCCAUGAGCCAUGGCGCUAUGGUGCUCACAGGGGAGAUGCCAAAGACAAAGGGGAGAGAUUACAGUUGGAGGAAGAAAGAAAGCCGUGCUCAGGAGCCAGAGCGAACUGAAGAAUGGUCUAAAAAGCCUCCUUGGAACAAAUAAUUCUACACAAGGCAAAGCUGAACGCGUUGGCUCGACCAGAUAGAUGCCUUCUUCUGGGACGGCAAAAGAAAUGCUCUGGAGAUCUUGCCAGAAAUCUCCAGAUAUCACUGUAUCUUCACACAGUAUACAAUGUUGGUCCGAUUUCAUUGGCUCCCACUUCCACUACCAUCUCACUUCUCUUGCAAAUCCUCCCCUGCUCUAGGCUCUAUCCCUCCCACCCGCAAAAUGAAGAUGGGUUAGAUUUAUCUCUCGGAUAUAAUCUUAGCCCUUACAUUUUAAUGUUUCUGGACGCUUCGUCCUGCUUUAUAUCUGAUCUCUUGAAAAGUCAAUAGGUGGUACUGAAAAGUUGGCAAAAUAAAUUAAUUUGGGGAUUAUUCUUCAUAC
rnacentral:lncRNA from 1 species